GACGAACGCUGGCGGCGUGCCUAAUACAUGCAAGUAGGACGCAGUUGCGAACGGGUGAGUAACGCGUAGGUAACUACCUAUUAGAGGGGGAUAACUAUUGGAAACGAUAGCUAAUACCGCAUACUAGUAGAUGGAUCUGCGUUGUAUUAGCUAGUAGGUGGGGUAAUGGCCUACCUAGGCAACGAUACAUAGCCGACCUUGGACGGUGUACGGCCACACUGGGCCUGAGAAACGGCCCAGACUCCUACGGUCGGCAGCAAUAGUGAAUCUUCGGCAAUGGGGCGAACCCUGACCGAGCAACGCCGCGUGAGUGCAGAAGGUUUUCGGAUCGUAAAGCUCUGUUGUUAAGGAAGCGGUACUUAACCAGAAAGGGACGGCUAACUACGUGCCAGCAGCCGCGGUAAUAC
rnacentral:rRNA from 1 species